AGUGAACGCUGGCGGCGUGCUUAACACAUGCAAGUCGAACGAGAACGGAAUAUAGCUUGCUAUAUUUGUCAGCUAAGUGGCGCACGGGUGAGUAAUGUAUAGAUAACCUGCCCUUAAGAAAGGAAUAACAGUUGGAAACGACUGCUAAUGCCCUAUAUGCCUUUAAUACAUAAGUAUGCAAGGGAAGCGCUUUAGUGCUUAAGGAUGGGUCUGUAUGGUAUCAGCUUGUUGGUGAGGUAAUGGCUCACCAAGGCUAUGACGCCGAACUGGUUUGAGAGGAUGAUCAGGCACACUGGAACUGAGACACGGUCCAGACUCCUACGGGAGGCAGCAGUGGGGAAUAUUGCACAAUGGACGAAAGUCUGAUGCAGCAACGCCGCGUGGAGGAUGACACAUUUCGGUGCGUAAACUCCUUUUAUAUAGGAAGAUAAUGACGGUACUAUAUGAAUAAGCACCGGCUAACUCCGUGCCAGCAGCCGCCGUAA
rnacentral:rRNA from 1 species